rnacentral:tRNA from 1 species
GAGAGGUUCAGAAGACCUGCUAAUUCUUCAACCUGGUAAAGUACCAGCCCUCUCU